UUGGAGGGCAAGUCUGGUGCCAGCAGCCGCGGUAAUUCCAGCUCCAAUAGCGUAUAUUAAAGUUGUUGCAGUUAAAAAGCUCGUAGUUGAAUUUCGGGGUUAGUAGGUUGGUCAUGCCUCUGGUAUGUACUGAUCUCACUGAUUCCUCCCUCUUGACGAACUGUAAUGUCAUUAAUUUGGUGUUGCAGGAAAUCAGGACUGUUACUUUGAAAAAAUUAGAGUGUUUAAAGCAGGCUUAGGCUUGAAUACAUUAGCAUGGAAUAAUGAAAUAGGACGUUUGAUCCUAUUUUGUUGGCUUCUAGGAUCGACGUAAUGAUUAAUAGGGAUAGUUGGGGGCAUUAGUAUUCAAUUGUCAGAGGUGAAAUUCUUGGAUUUAUUGAAGACUAACUACUGCGAAAGCAUUUGCCAAGGAUGUUUUCAUUAAUUAAGAACGAAAGUUAGGGGAUCGAAGACGAUCAGAUACCGUCGUAGUCUUAWCCAUAAACUAUGCCGACUAGGGAUCGGAUGAUGUUAAUUUUUUAAUGACUCAUUCGGCGCCUUACGGGAAAC
rnacentral:rRNA from 1 species